GCGACCCGCGGGGAGGCGGCGGCCAUUUCGCGGCGGCUCCGCCCCGCCGCUCGGCUCCCGGACGGGGAAGGCGAGGGAGCUUCCAGCGCCCCGCCGGGGCCCCUCCGGCGGCUUCGUGCGGGGCAGCGGGCCCGAAGGCCCCCGCCGGGGUUCCAGUCGGUGCUCCGGCACCCCGAGGGCUCUCUAACCGCCCGGCCGCGUCCAUUGCUGCCUGUAACAGGACCCGUGUGGGAGAUGCACGUGGGAGCAGGAGGCCCGGCGAUGACAGCGUCUGCGAGCGUCCGCUGAUCCUAAUGAGAAACUGCGAGCCUGGGAAGGAAGAGGCUUCCAGAUGUGCUCUUUCAUCUGCCUGAUCUGCUGACUUCGUGGUGCCGCUUGCACUCCGGACAAACUGGGAUCCCUGUUUCCCUGCUGCAGCAGCUUUAAAACCCGUGCCCUCCUGUAACUCGGACAGCACGUGUGACUGCGCAGAGCGACGUUCUCAGUCCAGCCCACUGCGAGUGCCUGGGAAAACAGGCAGGCUUUGCUGCAUGCCCAUCGAUUAACCAAACCCAGCUGACUUUACUAUCUACAGGUGUAUCUGCUACUACUCUUUACAACAAGCAGCUGCCUGGGGCUCCCAAACGGCUCUUGUGGGGCUGUAAUGAAGUUGUGAGUCCCGCAGGUCCCUUCCGGGGAUCACCACCAGCGCAGCAGGACGAGGACUGAAUCUACUCCAAUGCCUCCAAAACCUGCAGCAUCUCGUCUCCGACACCAGAAGUCAUCGUCAGAAGGCAAAAAAACCCAAAAACCCCGGUGUGCAGAAAGGGACUGAUAGUUACCCAUUUGACUCAGCCCUGUUUCAAUUUGCAAUAUCCUUCCGUGCGUCGGGAGCAAUAAACACCUUGCAAACC